ACAUUCAGCAUUGGAGGCAUUGCCUGCCAGUGACAACUGUUUAACGGCCGCGGUAUCCUGACCGUGCAAAGGUAGCAUAAUCAUUUGUUCUCUAAAUAAGGACUUGUAUGAAUGGCCGCACGAGGGUUUUACUGUCUCUUACUUCCAAUCAGUGAAAUUGACCUUCCCGUGAAGAGGCGGGAAUGCACAAAUAAGACGAGAAGACCCUAUGGAGCUUUAACUAACCAACCCAAAGAGAAUAGAUUUAACCAUUAAGGAAUAACAACAAUCUCCAUGAGUUGGUAGUUUCGGUUGGGGUGACCUCGGAGAAUAAAAAAUCCUCCGAGCGAUUUUAAAGACUAGACCCACAAGUCAAAUCACUCUAUCGCUCAUUGAUCCAAAAACUUGAUCAACGGAACAAGUUACCCUAGGGAUAACAGCGCAAUCCUAUUCAAGAGUCCAUAUCGACAAUAGGGUUUACGACCUCGAUGUUGGAUCAGGACAUCCUGAUGGUGCAACCGCUAUCAAAGGUUCGUUUGUUCAACGAUUAAAGUCCUACGUGAUCUGAGUUCAGACCGGA
rnacentral:rRNA from 1 species